rnacentral:rRNA from 1 species
CUACACAUGCAGUCGAGGGGCAGCGCGAGGAGUAGCAAUACUUUUGGCGGCGACCGGCGCACGGGUGCGUAACGCGUAUGUAACCUACCUUUAACCGGGGGAUAAUUCGGAGAAAUCUGGUCUAAUACCCCAUAAUACUUUUGAGGGCAUCCUCGGGAGUUGAAAGCUCCGGCAGUUAAAGAUGGACAUGCGUUGUAUUAGCUUGUUGGUGAGGUAACGGCUCACCAAGGCAACGAUACAUAGGGGGACUGAGAGGUUUACCCCCCACACUGGUACUGAGACACGGACCAGACUCCUACGGGAGGCAGCAGUGAGGAAUAUUGGUCAAUGGACGCAAGUCUGAACCAGCCAUGCCGCGUGCAGGAUGACGGCUCUAUGAGUUGUAAACUGCUUUUGCACGAGGGUAAACCCGGAUACGUGUAUCCGGCUGAAAGUAUCGUGCGAAUAAGGAUCGGCUAACUCCGUGCCAGCAGCCGCGGUAAUACGGAGGAUCCAAGCGUUAUCCGGAUUUAUUGGGUUUAAAGGGUGCGCAGGCGGCCCGGUAAGUUAGAGGUGAAAGCCCGUGGCUCAACCACGGAACUGCCUCUGAUACUGUCGGGCUAGAGAGUAGUUGCUGUUGGCGGAAUGUGUGGUGUAGCGGUGAAAUGCUUAGAUAUCACACAGAACACCGAUUGCGAAAGCAGCUGACAAAACUACGACUGACGCUCAGGCACGAAAGCGUGGGGAGCAAACAGGAUUAGAUACCCUGGUAGUCCACGCCGUAAACGAUGAUAGCUCGUUGCAGGCGAUACACAGUCUGUGACUUAGCGAAAGCGUUAAGCUAUCCACCUGGGGAGUACGUUCGCAAGAAUGAAACUCAAAGGAAUUGACGGGGGCCCGCACAAGCGGAGGAACAUGUGGUUUAAUUCGAUGAUACGCGAGGAACCUUACCCGGGCUUGAAAGUUAGUGACCGCUGCCGAAAGGCGGCUUCCCUUCGGGGCACGAAACUAGGUGCUGCAUGGUUGUCGUCAGCUCGUGCCGUGAGGUGUCGGGUUAAGUCCCAUAACGAGCGCAACCCCUACUGUCAGUUGCCAGCGAGUAAUGUCGGGAACUCUGGCAGGACUGCCGGUGUAAGCCGAGAGGAAGGUGGGGAUGACGUCAAAUCAGCACGGCCCUUACGUCCGGGGCGACACACGUGUUACAAUGGCCGAUACAGAGGGCUGCUACCCGGCAACGGGACGCCAAUCUCAAAAAUCGGUCUCAGUUCGGAUCGGAGGCUGAAACUCGCCUCCGUGAAGUUGGAUUCGCUAGUAAUCGCGCAUCAGCCAUGGCGCGGUGAAUACGUUCCCGGGCCUUGUACACACCGCCCGUCAAGCCAUGAAAGCCGAGGGCGCCUAAAGUCCGUCACCGAAAGGAGCGGCCUA